rnacentral:rRNA from 1 species
CCUACGGGUGGCAGCAGUGGGGAAUAUUGGGCAAUGGGCGCAAGCCUGACCCAGCAACGCCGCGUGAAGGAAGAAGGCUUUCGGGUUGUAAACUUCUUUUCUCAGGGACGAAGCAAGUGACGGUACCUGAGGAAUAAGCCACGGCUAACUACGUGCCAGCAGCCGCGGGAAUACGUAGGUGGCAAGCGUUAUCGGGAUUUACUGGGUGUAAAGGGCGUGUAGGCGGGAACGCAAGUCAGAUGUGAAAACCAUGGGCUCAACCUGUGACCGGCAUUUGAAACUGUUUUUCUUGAGUACUGGAGAGGCAGACGGAAUUCCUAGUGGAGCGGUGAAAUGCGUAGAUAUUAGGAGGAACACCAGUGGCGAAGGCGGUCUGCUGGACAGCAACUGACGCUGAGGCGCGAAAGCGUGGGGAGCAAACAGGAUUAGAUACCCGAGUAGUC